GCAGUGGUGGUUCAGCAGUAGAGUUCUCACCUUCCAUGUGGGAGAUCAGGGUUCGAUUCCCAGUCAACACA
rnacentral:tRNA from 1 species